GCAUAUCAAUAAGCGGAGGAAAAGAAACCAACAGGGAUUGCCUCAGUAACGGCGAGUGAAGCGGCAAAAGCUCAAAUUUGAAAUCAGACUCCCCUGGGGGUCCGAGUUGUAAUUUGGAGAGGAUACUUCGGUUAGGGUUACCGCGGUGUAAGUCCCUUGGAACAGGGCGUCAUAGAGGGUGAGAAUCCCGUCUUGCACCGCGUCCGCGCCCCCGUGUGAAGUUCCUUCGACGAGUCGAGUUGUUUGGGAAUGCAGCUCUAAGUGGGUGGUAAAUUUCAUCUAAAGCUAAAUACUGGCUGGAGACCGAUAGCGCACAAGUAGAGUGAUCGAAAGGUUAAAAGCACCUUGAAAAGGGAGUUAAAUAGCACGUGAAAUUGUUGAAAGGGAAGCGCUUGCAACCAGACUCGGUUCCGGGGGCUCAGCGGGCACGUGUGCCCGUGUACUCCCCCGGUCUCCGGGCCAGCAUCGAUUUGGGCGGCCGGUCAAAGGCCCUGGGAAGGUAGUAUCCUCCGGGAUACCUUAUAGCCCAGGGUGCAAUGCGGCCAGCCCGGAUCGAGGAACGCGCUCCGGCACGGAUGCUGGCGUAAUGGUUGCAAGCGGCCCGUCUUGAAACACGGACCAAGGAGUCUAACAUCCACGCGAGUGUUCGGGUGUCAAACCCGUGCGCGCAGUGAAAGCGAACGGAGGUGGGAGCCCCCCGGGGUGCACCAUCGACCGAUCCUGAAGUCUUCGGAUGGAUUUGAGUAAGAGCGUGGCUGUUGGGACCCGAAAGAUGGUGAACUAUGCCUGAAUAGGGUGAAGCCAGAGGAAACUCUGGUGGAGGCUCGCAGCGGUUCUGACGUGCAAAUCGAUCGUCAAAUUUGGGUAUAGGGGCGAAAGACUAAUCGAACCAUCUGGUAGCUGGUUCCUGCG
rnacentral:rRNA from 1 species